rnacentral:lncRNA from 1 species
UUUUAUUUUUUAUUUUUUUUUGUUUCAAAUGUUUUUAAUUUAAUAAAUCUUGUAACCACAUUUAAAUGAUCUAAAACCCAUAGCAUUGUAGUCACGGCAACCUACUAAACUUUCUCAUGCAACUAAAAUUUAUGGGGAAGGUGAGGGUGGGGGGUUGUACAUGUCCCGUUGUAAAAUAAGUGUUUUAAAUGUCCUGUACUGCUAAUGAAUGACUAUAUGUCCGAGAGUUCUCCAGUGAAAUAACUAUGCACUACUUUACAUUUCAUGGGGAUGCACAAAAAAAAAAAAGAAAAAAAGAAAAAGUAUGACAUUUUUAGUUGCUGUUUGUACCAACCUUGAAUGACAUAUGUUUAACAACAAAUCAAAAAUCCUAUUUCUAUUGAGUUUUUAAUACUGAGUAGCAACUCUGAAGUCUUAAUUCCUUUUUUGUUAUGAUUUAUUUGUGAGUUUACAUUUUUAAAUUGUUUAACUUUCUUAAUUUAGUAAUUAAAAAG